UGGGGAAUAUUGCACAAUGGGCGCAAGCCUGAUGCAGCCAUGCCGCGUGUAUGAAGAAGGCCUUCGGGUUGUAAAGUACUUUCAGUCGGGAGGAAGGUGGUAAGGUUAAUAACCUUAUCAAUUGACGUUACCGACAGAAGAAGCACCGGCUAACUCCGUGCCAGCAGCCGCGGUAAUACGGAGGGUGCAAGCGUUAAUCGGAAUUACUGGGCGUAAAGCGCACGCAGGCGGUUGAUUGAGUCAGAUGUGAAAUCCCCGGGCUUAACCCGGGAAUUGCAUCUGAUACUGGUCAGCUAGAGUCUUGUAGAGGGGGGUAGAAUUCCAUGUGUAGCGGUGAAAUGGGUAGAGAUGUGGAGGAAUACCGGUGGCGAAGGCGGCCCCCUGGACAAAGACUGACGCUCAGGUGCGAAAGCGUGGGGAGCAAACAGG
rnacentral:rRNA from 1 species